rnacentral:lncRNA from 1 species
UCACGUGACCUCAUUUANCUCUACCAAAUAAAUUGAAAAUGGCCUAAAAGUGGGGCUCUUGGCCGUGAGGUUGCUGCAGCAUUUCCAAUCAAUCAAUGCAUCUUAUUUUGAAACCAAAUACCACCGAGUGCUCCUCCAAAUUGANUCACCGUGCACACUCUUUUCUCCAAAGCAAGUAAGUGCAAGAAAAAAAUAAAAUAAAAUAAAGAAAAACGUUGCAACGUGCUCCACUCCACAAAGUGACAAACCCCUAUUCUAAACUAAGCCUAGACACCACUUCCAAUUUCUCCAAAAUUAAUUAACCAAGUUGCUAAUUCCCAAUGAAGGUCACCGUGGCUGCAACUUUCUAUCCAAAUGAAGCCAAUUCUUCUUUCACGUGGCAGCAGCAGCAGCGUGAAUAAAUGGACAAGACUAAACCUCUGUGCAACAAUUCUAUUCACACUAAAAGCAAUAGCAAAAUGGUGUGUGCANACCCUUUAAUAAAAGGAAAAUUCAAUGUAAAAUAAAUUG